CUGACGACCGUCAAGCCUUCAUAGUACACCACCUGCAACGCAGCGUGAAGAGGGAAGAAGCCGACAUGUCAGCUGCGAGGGAGACUGGCAGAGACCCCUGAAUCAUCCUCACGACCACGGCGACUUAAUUCCCAUAAAACAUUUCCUAGAGAGGCACACAGAAGGCUUGCAAGUUGCAAUUUAAACACACGUUCAUGAUUUGAGCUCAGGAGAACAUGACAAACACACGCGGUCUUCACAAAUACAUGAAGUCUCGAACAAGUCACCCAAGUCUUCAGAAGGAAACAGCAGUUGUAAUAAAUAAGGAGACGGCAGUAAAUAUGUUUGGCGAAAAGCUGUAAAUCUUCAGAACAACAACAAUAAUUAAUAUAAUAUUAAUUAAUAGCAAUAAUAUCCAGUUCUUUUCAUGUGGAACAUGGAGUGGACAUGGUUGUGACUGGCUCAGGACAGACAAUAAGAAACUACAGUACGAGCAGACUGACCACAAUGUCUCAACAUACACCACUCUUCCAAAUGUGCGUGUUGCAUAGGGCUGCACAAUUCUGAUCACAUCUUUACUGUUCACACAGUCCCAUUCAGUCACAAAAACGAUUCCACAUAACCUGCAACAAAUGGAAAUGCUUCAUUUGUGCCUGAACACCACAGGAAGUGGAACUUUUGUGAAAUUGAUGAU